GACGAACGCUGGCGGCGUGCUUAACACAUGCAAGUCGAACGGUGAAGCCCUUCGGGGUGGAUCAGUGGCGAACGGGUGAGUAACACGUGAGCAACCUGCCCCUGACUCUGGGAUAACUACCGGAAACGGUAGCUAAUACCGGAUAUGACGCUUCCAGGCAUCUGGUGAGUGUGGAAAGUUUUUCGGUUGGGGAUGGGCUCGCGGCCUAUCAGCUUGUUGGUGGGGUAAUGGCCUACCAAGGCGACGACGGGUAGCCGGCCUGAGAGGGCGACCGGCCACACUGGGACUGAGACACGGCCCAGACUCCUACGGGAGGCAGCAGUGGGGAAUAUUGCACAAUGGGCGCAAGCCUGAUGCAGCGACGCCGCGUGAGGGAUGACGGCCUUCGGGUUGUAAACCUCUUUCAGCAUCGACGAAGCGAAAGUGACGGUAGGUGCAGAAGAAGGACCGGCCAACUACGUGCCAGCCGCCGCCGUAA
rnacentral:rRNA from 1 species